GUUGUGGAAACGUUGGCUUCCGCAACUGAUGAUCUGGCUGCUGAUUUUUCUCAAAUUCGUGACUUCCAUGUUGGAAUACCUUAUGAUGUGGAAUGGCCUGGGCUAGCAGACCGAGUCCCAUCUGGUUGAGUCUUACGGCCAUAUCCAAUCUCUUCUGUGGAGAUGCUGCUCUAAGUCUAACUUUAAAAUGAAAAAUAUAGGGAUCUUUGAUUUGUUUUCCCCUCAAAUUAAUUCAGUAUUUUUCAUGGCGUUCUUUUCGCUCUGCAGGUUUCUUUCUUUCCGUUGGUGGCUUCCUUUCCUUUAUGUUGACGGGCAGCAUUUCUGCUGUUAGGUU
rnacentral:misc_RNA from 1 species